rnacentral:lncRNA from 1 species
CACAUAACUUGGCAACUUUGUCGAGACAAUUUUAAAUUCCACUGCAUCCACCAGAGUAUACCUCUGCAAAGAAAGAGAAAGUUAGAGGAGCUACAAAAAAUUACAAAGAUAAAAAGGAAAGGAUACCUACUACUACAGCGAACUGAGAAAGAGAAGAGUAUAUAGCAUCAUGAGAUACACAUAGAUGUUCCACAGAGCGAGGAGGCGGAAAGUAAGUCAAGUUCAAACCAACUCCAGGAGAAAUUGAUGUAAGAGGCGGAGUGAAAUGAGGAGUAUCGGAUUGAAAACCCUACCAUUUAGGAUCAAUUUAUAGAGUGGUCUAUUUCCUAU